AAGAGAAAUUAGCUAUCUAAAGUUAGCGAAGGGACAAGAAUCAGGUAUUAGCACACAAACUGCUAACACAAAUCCCGCAGUACCUCGGUAUAAACAUACACACACACCACACACCUUUGUCAAAAAGUUCCAAUAAAAGAAAAUGUGGGGAUUGUUUUUGGCUCAAGUUAAAAGCCCAAAGAGAAUUUCAAUUAACUGUGGGCUUUUCUGCACUGCAUCACUAAGAACAAAAUUUAGCAUAGCUGUCACUAAAGAUUAGAGAAAUCAAGGUUAAAGGAUUUUGACAUUAACAAUGCGACUACACAGCUUUUUUUAUUUCUUGCUUCAAAUAAUCUCCUUUUAAAGUCUGGAACCCUAUUUCCAAGCCAUUCGUGUUCUCCCCAACAUGGUAUGGGAAUAGUUUGAAAGGCUACGUGUAUGAUAAGGCGACCUUUAAACGUUUGCUGGAUCAGCACCGGGUGGGGAUAAGGAAAAGAUCAAGGGCAAACAGAAGAUAUUUACAAAAGGGGCACAAUCAGUACCGAAAAACUGAUUGGGUGGUUAAACGGGACAUUUUAAAAUUAUUUAUUAAUCCAUCUGCGCUCUUUCCCUUCCCCCAUGUCCUUUAAGAAAGGAACGUUCCUUUCAGAGUGCACCAGGCUGACGCUGUGAAUUUCUCUACGCGAAACGGAUCCACAGUACAAAAGCAGCUGAUCAAACAUACUGGCUUGAUAAUUUUGAACUUGUUCUUUUUAUGUAUUUAUGGGAAGACGGCAGUAUUUCUGGGGGAUCCGAGCCCAUACGUGGCCCAGCAGCAGCGCCCUGGCAGGAGCCUUAAGCAGUGGGAGUUACAUAACCAGGCAGUCGGGUCUCAUUAGAUUUCUGCUCACAGCCCUGGAGCUCCGGCGGCAGCGGGAGGAGGAAGAGCAUUUUCUGAGCCCAUAAGAAACCGAAGGAGGAAGAGGGAUAUCUGGAGAGCAGCAUUUUGCCAUAAGUGCUACACGGGCCCCAGGAGAAUUUUGGAAGUGCCAGUCGAAGAAAUGCCAGGACUUUUAUCCCUUUGUAGCUCAGGAAAUAUCUGGGACCAGCGGAGAACAUGAUGACAAUGUUUACGGACAUGUCCCUUACUAAUGAUGUCCAAAGGUGGCCAGAUUACUCACUCCUCUGCAGAUGAGUUCCAGGUGGUGCUCUGAAGAAGUCUGGAACCUGAUUUUCUUGACUUCCACUGUAUCACUGAUGGGCUGUUGGCACCUCAAGCAAUCAGAUUUCAGGUGUCCCAAAGCAUGUACCUCAAACCCAAGGUAGUCAACUUGUGACACUUGCAGAAAGACAACUCCUUAACGCAGCAGAACUUUGAGAUCUAAAGAAAAACAUUACACUCAUCUACUAUGCUGGGAACCAGCACUGAGUAAAAACCAGAGUAAAGAUGAGAAUGAGAGGAGACAAGUAUUUUAUUUUUAAACCUUAUGAAUUUCUUAGUAGUUCUGCUUUGGUACUUUCCUAGAGAGGAAGGCAGGGUUGGAAAGAUCAGAUUUUCAAACUCGGCUCCCUCCCUGAUACCACACUAAAGACUUGUAUUACCUUUAACUGAUGUUUCUGAGUGCAUCCUCACUGAUUUACUCCAGCUGUGCUCUUUAUGCAGGGAACAUUCUAUUCUCAGAGCAUAAUCUAGACCCAUACGAACAAUAUUAGAUGUUUCCUGAUAACAUAAUUUAGAAAGAGAAGAUGUAAUUGCUGCCUGUGCUGAAUGCACAGCAUCUCUCUGCCUGCCAGAGCACUGCAAACUCAUGACCCCUUUUGGAAUCCAUAAAGGGAGAAAAGUCCCAAAUCCUUCAUUGUGGUUCUCAUUUUGUCAUUUCCAUCUUAUUAAAUAUGCUGGUCCUUGUGCCUUUGAUUUUAACUUCCUAAGGAUAGCUUAUGAUGAAAUUUUUUAGAAGGCUCUCAGAAGCUUUUAGAUGAAAUUCAGGGAUCAUUCAUGCAGAAAUGUGUCUGUUUGUGGGGCACAAAACAGCAGCAACUUGGGCAUCUGCUGAGGAAAAAUGGGGAGGGGACCCAGAAAGGUCUUCCUCCGGUAACUUGUAAUUAUAAGAAGCACAACAAAGCAGGUUCUUGUUAAGGACUUCCCUAAAUACUUGAAGAGGAGGUUGGAACUCAUUUGACCUGCUCCAAAACCAGUUGGCUUGGCUAUGCAUAGUCCAAUUGCUGUGGUUUAAAAUGAGUAGCUGGAGUGCUUUUGUCUUCUAAAUCAUCCCACAAGCACUGUGCUUCACUGUCUUCUCUCUGAUGGAAGGAUAUCCAGGGUGAGACAUUACAAUUCAAAUUUUCAUCUCUAGGGUCAAAUUUGUCUCAGUUCAAUAGCACCUGGAAAGCACUGCCGUGUAGUGGGGUUUGAUGUGAAAUAAGCGUAGGUCCCUCCACAGCACAGUCAAUCGAGAUCCACAGCACAGAAAAACCACUACUGUAAUUGCUCUCUGUAUCAGCUGCCUCAGGAAAAUAUAAAAUAAAAUUA